GGCUGGGGCUCAGUGGCAGAGUGCUUGCCUGGCAUGCAUGAGGCACUGGGUUCGAUCCUCAGCACCA
rnacentral:tRNA from 1 species